GUGGGGAAUCUUGCGCAAUGGGGGGAACCCUGACGCAGCGACGCCGCGUGCGGGACGGAGGCCUUCGGGUCGUAAACCGCUUUCAGCAGGGAAGAGUCAAGACUGUACCUGCAGAAGAAGCCCCGGCUAACUACGUGCCAGCAGCCGCGGUAAUACGUAGGGGGCGAGCGUUAUCCGGAUUCAUUGGGCGUAAAGCGCGCGUAGGCGGCCCGGCAGGCCGGGGGUCGAAGCGGGGGGCUCAACCCCCCGAAGCCCCCGGAACCUCCGCGGCUUGGGUCCGGUAGGGGAGGGUGGAACACCCGGUGUAGCGGUGGAAUGCGCAGAUAUCGGGUGGAACACCGGUGGCGAAGGCGGCCCUCUGGGCCGAGACCGACGCUGAGGCGCGAAAGCUGGGGGAGCGAACAGGAUUAGAAACCCCAGUAGUCC
rnacentral:rRNA from 1 species